CGGUUUGUAUUUCGACAUAGAAAAACAAACAUGUGACUGGAAGGCCGCAGUAAAGAAUUGCAAGUUGAAGAAUAAAGAACGCAAAGUCAAACCUUUAUUGUUCACAGACGAACCAUUGUGUCAGGACGGAGAAUUGUCUUGUGGUGAUAAGUCUUGUAUUGAACGAGGACUGUUUUGUAAUGGU